rnacentral:rRNA from 1 species
GACUACAGGGGUAUCUAAUCCUGUUUGCUCCCCACGCUUUCGUGCCUCAGCGUCAGGAAAGGCCCAGUUGCCCGUCUUCACCAUCGGCAUUCCUGUAGAUAUCUACGCAUUUCACCGCUCCACCUACAGUUCUGGCAACCCCUACCUUCCUCAAGACCCGCAGUAUGCCCAGCAGUUCCCUGGUUGAGCCAGGGGAUUUCACAAAGCACUUGCGGGCCAGCCUACGCACCCUUUAAGCCCAGUAAUUCCGAUUAACGCUCGAGACCCCUGUAUUACCGCGGCUGCUGGCACAGGGUUAGCCGUCUCUUCCUUUGGAAAUGAUCAUUGGUUCUAUUUCCUGACAGUGGUUUACACACCGAAGGCGCUUCAUCCCACACGCGGCGUCGCUCCGUCAGGCUUGCGCCCAUUGCGGAAGAUUCCUCACUGCAGCCCCCCGUAGG